rnacentral:lncRNA from 1 species
GAUCUUUGAGCUUCAACGAUGUCUUUUAAUGGUGAUUUUCCACCAUGGAGAUGCAGCGAAAGACAAAGGAGAAGAGGUGAGAGGAGGUGCCAUCCACUAGGGAAUAAGCCAUGGAAGAAGGAGUUUCACCACCAAGAUGAGCCUUGGAUAAGAAGCUUGGAAGGAUGCUUCAAUGGAGGAAAAGAAAGAGGGAGAGAAAGAGAGAGGGGGGAGCACGAAAUUGAAGGAAUAAAAGAGGGAGAGAAGUGGAACUUUGAAGUAUGUCUCACAAGACUCUCAUUCAUCAAAGUUACAACAAGUGUUACACAUGCUUCUAUUUAUA